GACGAACGCUGGCGGCGUGCCUAACACAUGCAAGUCGAGCGAUGAAGUUUCCUUCGGGAAACGGAUUAGCGGCGGACGGGUGAGUAACACGUGGGUAACCUGCCUCAUAGAGGGGAAUAGCCUCCCGAAAGGGAGAUUAAUACCGCAUAAUAUUACAGUUUUGCAUGAAACAGUAAUUAAAGGAGCAAUCCGCUAUAAGAUGGACCCGCGGCGCAUUAGCUAGUUGGUGAGGUAACGGCUCACCAAGGCGACGAUGCGUAGCCGACCUGAGAGGGUGAUCGGCCACAUUGGGACUGAGACACGGCCCAGACUCCUACGGGAGGCAGCAGUGGGGAAUAUUGCACAAUGGGGGAAACCCUGAUGCAGCAACGCCGCGUGAGUGAUGACGGUCUUCGGAUUGUAAAGCUCUGUCUUUGGGGACGAUAAUGACGGUACCCAAGGAGGAAGCCACGGCUAACUACGUGCCAGCCGCCGCAGUAAGAC
rnacentral:rRNA from 1 species